rnacentral:rRNA from 1 species
UUCCGGUUGAUCCUGCCGGACCCCACUGCUAUCGGGAUAGGACUAAGACAUGCUAGUCGAGCGCUUCCUAGCCAAUAUGGAAGCGCGGCACACAGCUCAGUAACACGUGGCUAACCUGCCCUUGGGACAAGAACAAUCCCGGGAAACUGGGGCUAAUUCUUGAUAGGUGAAGAAUUCUGGAAUGAGUCUUCACCCAAAAGAUACUUGCAUUAUGCUUGUAGGUGUCGCCCAAGGAUGGGGCCGCGGCCGAUCAGGUUGUUGGUGAGGUAAUGGCUCACCAAGCCUUUUACCGGUGCGGGCCGUGGGAGCGGGAGCCCGGAGAUGGGCACUGAGACAAGGGCCCAGGCCCUACGGGGCGCAGCAGUCGCGAAAACUUUGCAAUAAGCGAAAGCUUGACAGGGCUAUCCCGAGUGCCAUCCGCUGAGGAAGGCUUUUACCCAGUCUAGAACGCUGGGAGAAUAAGGAGAGGGCAAGUCUGGUGUCAGCCGCCGCGGUAAUACCAGCUCUCCGAGUGGUGUGGAUGUUUAUUGGGCCUAAAGCAUCCGUAGCUUGCUAAGUUAGUCCUUUGUUAAAUCCACCGAAUUAAUCGUUGGACUGCGGGGGAUACUGCUUGGCUAGGGGACGAGAGAGGCAGACGGUAUUUCCGGGGUAAGGGUGAAAUCUUACAAUCCUGGGAAGACCACCAGUGGCGAAGGCUGUCUGCUAGAACGCGCCCGACGGUGAGGGAUGAAAGCUGGGGGAGCGAACCGGAUUAGAUACCCGGGUAGUCCCGGCCGUAAACGAUGCACGCUAGGUGUUUGGACGGCUACGUGCCGUUCUAGUGCCGCAGGGAAGCUGUUAAGCCUGCCGCCUGGGGAGUACGAUCGCAAGGUUGAAACUUAAAGGAAUUGGCGGGGGAGCACCACAAGGGGUGAAGCUUGCGGUUUAAUUGGACUCAACGCCGGU